AGUGAACGCUGGCGGUAGGCCUAACACAUGCAAGUCGAACGGCAGCACAGUAAGAGCUUGCUCUUACGGGUGGCGAGUGGCGGACGGGUGAGGAAUACAUCGGAAUCUACUUUUUCGUGGGGGAUAACGUAGGGAAACUUACGCUAAUACCGCAUACGACCUACGGGUGAAAGCAGGGGAUCUUCGGACCUUGCGCGAUUGAAUGAGCCGAUGUCGGAUUAGCUAGUUGGCGGGGUAAAGGCCCACCAAGGCGACGAUCCGUAGCUGGUCUGAGAGGAUGAUCAGCCACACUGGAACUGAGACACGGUCCAGACUCCUACGGGAGGCAGCAGUGGGGAAUAUUGGACAAUGGGCGCAAGCCUGAUCCAGCCAUACCGCGUGGGUGAAGAAGGCCUUCGGGUUGUAAAGCCCUUUUGUUGGGAAGAAAAGCAGCAGGUUAAUACCCCACUGUUCUGACGGUACCCAAAGAAUAAGCACCGGCUAACUUCGUG
rnacentral:rRNA from 1 species